GAUGAACGCUGGCGGCGUGCCUAAUACAUGCAAGUCGAGCGAACAGACGAGGAGCUUGCUCCUCUGACGUUAGCGGCGGACGGGUGAGUAACACGUGGAUAACCUACCUAUAAGACUGGGAUAACUUCGGGAAACCGGAGCUAAUACCGGAUAAUAUAUUGAACCGCAUGGUUCAAUAGUGAAAGACGGUUUUGCUGUCACUUAUAGAUGGAUCCGCGCCGCAUUAGCUAGUUGGUAAGGUAACGGCUUACCAAGGCAACGAUGCGUAGCCGACCUGAGAGGGUGAUCGGCCACACUGGAACUGAGACACGGUCCAGACUCCUAAGGGAGGCAGCAGUAGGGAAUCUGCCGCAAUGGGCGAAAGCCUGACGGAGCAACGCCGCGUGAGUGAUGAAGGUCUUCGGAUCGUAAAACUCUGUUAUUAGGGAAGAACAAAUGUGUAAGUAACUAUGCACGUCUUGACGGUACCUAAUCAGAAAGCCACGGCUAACUACGUG
rnacentral:rRNA from 1 species